rnacentral:rRNA from 1 species
GUGUGUAUAAAGUGGCGAACGGCUGAGUAACACGUGGGCAACCUGCCCUCCUCUUGGGGAUAGCCUCGGGAAACCGAGGAUAAUACCCGAUACUUCAAUGUGGCCGCAUGACGACAUUGAGAAAGUUUUUGCGGAGAAGGAUGGGCCCGCGGCCUGUUAGCUUGUUGGUGGGGUAGAGGCCUACCAAGGCAAUGAUGGGUAGCUGGGUUGAGAGACCGACCAGCCAGAUUGGGACUGAGACACGGCCCAGACUCCUACGGGAGGCAGCAGUGGGGAAUCUUGCACAAUGGGCGAAAGCCUGAUGCAGCGACGCCGCGUGCGGGAAGAAGGCCUUCGGGUUGUAAACCGCUUUCAGCAGGGACGAGGCGAAAGUGACGGUACCUGCAGAAGAAGCCCCGGCUAACUACGUGCCAGCAGCCGCGGUAAUACGUAGGGGGCAAGCGUUAUCCGGAUUCAUUGGGCGUAAAGCGCUCGUAGGCGGUCUGUUAGGUCGGGAGUUAAAUCCGGAGGCUCAACCUCCGCCCGCUCCCGAUACCGGCAGACUUGAGUUUGGUAGGGGAAGGUGGAAUUCCUAGUGUAGCGGUGGAAUGCGCAGAUAUUAGGAAGAACACCAGUGGCGAAGGCGGCCUUCUGGG